UCACUCCUCUUUCUAGGUAAAGAUGUCUUAAAGAGUACAGUUUCUCAACAUAUCUGAUCCAGGGACGGUAUAAAAGAAAACAUGAACAUCCAGAACAGCAUCACAAGAACUUUCCUGAUCCUCUGCUGAAGCUGCAAAGACUAGACUGAGGGAAAUCAUGCUGAAGUUAGCUCUGGUGCUUGGAUGCCUCCUGAGUCUCACUCUGGCUCAACCUAUGGAGCAUCAGAGAUUUGCUCGUUCCAAACAUGGGCAUCAUCACUCUGGGUCGAACUCACAUGAGGCAACCACCACUACUGCAACAACAACUGUUGCAGGAGCAACAACUGUUGCAGGAGCAACAACUACACCAUCACUGAGCCAGCUGAUUCUGCUCAUCCAGCAACUUCUCAACAGAGCAAGAUAAAGUCUGACAUGGAAAAUUGACUUUCAAUGAAUUGUUGACAUUGCUUCUCCUUAGAUUUGCUCUUGUGAAAAUUCUGUGACACAUGUUUUGUUGUUGCUCAGAAUGAACAUCAAUCUGAUAUUAUAGCUGUCUUCAAAAUCUCACAACUAUAAUAAAUGUUAAACAGCAAAC